rnacentral:rRNA from 1 species
UACGUAGGGCGCAAGCGUUGUCCGGAAUUAUUGGGCGUAAAGAGCUCGUAGGCGGUUUGUCGCGUCUGCUGUGAAAACCUAAGGCUCAACCUUGGGCUUGCAGUGGGUACGGGCAGACUAGAGUGCGGUAGGGGUGACUGGAAUUCCUGGUGUAGCGGUGGAAUGCGCAGAUAUCAAGAGGAACCCCGAUGGCGAAGGCAGGUCACUGGGCCGCAACUGACGCUGAGGAGCGAAAGCAUGGGGAGCGAACAGG